rnacentral:misc_RNA from 1 species
GAAAUGCGAUAAGUAAUGUGAAUUGCAGAAUUUAGUGAAUCAUCGAAUCUUUGAACGCACAUUGCGCCCCUUGGUAUUCCGAGGGGCAUGCCUGUUCGAGCGUCAUUACAACCCUCAAGCAAUGCUUGGUAUUGGGCUCCGCUGCUCAUCUAGCGGGCCUUAAAAUCAGUGGCGGUGCCAUUCGGCCUCAAGCGUAGUAAUGCUCCUCGCUUUGGAGGUUUGGAUUUGUUGCUUGCCAGCAAUUCACCAAAUAAUUCUUUUGCAGUUGACCUCGGAUCAGGUAGGGAUACCCGCUGAACUUAA